UACGGAGGGAGCUAGCGUUGUUCGGAAUUACUGGGCGUAAAGCGCACGUAGGCGGCUUCUUAAGUCAGGGGUGAAAUCCCGGAGCUCAACUCCGGAACUGCCCUUGAAACUGGGAAGCUAGAAUCUUGGAGAGGCGAGUGGAAUUCCGAGUGUAGAGGUGAAAUUCGUAGAUAUUCGGAAGAACACCAGUGGCGAAGGCGACUCGCUGGACAAGUAUUGACGCUGAGGUGCGAAAGCGUGGGGAGCAAACAGG
rnacentral:rRNA from 1 species